GUGUCUAGAGAUAGCCAUGCAUGUCUAGUAUAAAUGGGUAUACAGUGAAACUGCGAAUGGCUCAUUAAAACAGUUAUAGUUUAUUUGGUAAUCGGAUUUACAUCGGAUAACCGUGGUAAUUCUAGAGCUAAUACAUGCUGUAAAGCCCGACUUUUCGGAAGGGCCGUAUUUAUUAGAUAACAGACCAAUAUUCCUCGUGUCUAUUGUGGUGAAUCAUAGUAACUAAUCGGAUCGCAUGGGCUAGUCCCGCGACAAACCAUUCAAGUUUCUGCCCCAUCAGCUUUCGAUGGUAGUGUAUUGGACUACCAUGGCUUUUACGGGUAACGGAGGAUUAGGGUUCGAUUCCGGAGAGGGAGCCUGAGAAACGGCUACCACAUCUAAGGAAGGCAGCAGGCGCGUAAAUUACCCAAUUCUAAUUCAGAGAGGUAGUGACAAGAAAUAACGGGUCGGGGCUAUGCCCCGGGACUGCAAUGAGAUGAAUUUACACCCCUUUUCGAGUA
rnacentral:rRNA from 1 species